UGUUGGUUCUCCCGCAACGCUACUCUGUUUACCAGGUCAGGUCCGGAAGGAAGCAGCCAAGGCAGAUGACGCGUGUGCCGGGAUGCAGCUGGCAGGG
rnacentral:SRP_RNA from 1 species